AGCGAACGCUGGCGGCAGGCUUAACACAUGCAAGUCGAGCGGGCGUAGCAAUACGUCAGCGGCAGACGGGUGAGUAACGCGUGGGAACGUACCUUUUGGUUCGGAACAACCCAGGGGAACUUGGACUAAUACCGGAUAAGCCCUAACGGGGAAGGAUUUAUCGCCGAAAGAUCGGCCCGCGUCUGAUUAGCUAGUUGGUGAGGUAACGGCCCACCAAGGCGACGAUCAGUAGCUGGUCUGAGAGGAUGAUCAGCCACAUUGGGACUGAGACACGGCCCAAACUCCUACGGGAGGCAGCAGUGGGGAAUAUUGGACAAUGGGCGCAAGCCUGAUCCAGCCAUGCCGCGUGAGUGAUGAAGGCCCUAGGGUUGUAAAGCUCUUUUGUGCGGGAAGAUAAUGACGGUACCGCAAGAAUAAGCCCCGGCUAACUUCGUGCCAGCAGCCGCCGUAAUAC
rnacentral:rRNA from 1 species